CGUAUUUACUAGCUGCUUGCACGGAGACGUUCAGUCCGGUCAAAGGGAUUAACAGCUUCAUUCAAGCUACAUAACCCGAUAAUUAAUUAAAUUUUGGAACAAUCACACUGUCUAAUAAAAUCCGGCCUCUUCCGUCCGCCCGUUUCUGCCAAUUACAUAGCGUCUACCUUCGGUUGGCAGCCCUGCAAUAUAACGGUAUUGGUCAUGUACGUAGGAGGAGCGGAGAGCUGAGCGGGUAACAUCCUAUGGAGAGAGCUAUGCUCAGAGUUUCUCUACGGGAUCGAAACAGAAAUGAGAAGAAACGUAGAAGAACGAGAGUCCCGUACGUAGCCAAACGGAUUGAAUCUUUGAAGUGGCAGGGGGCAGGCCAUAUAGCAUGAAGAACAAAUGACCGUUGGAGCUGAAGAAUUCUCGAAAGGAGACCACAUAUCGGACAGCGCAGCGUUGGACUUCCAUCGAGAUGGACGGAAGACUUAGUCCAGGCCGCGAGUCUACUCGGCAGGUGCAGGCACUUCUGAUUGAAGUAAUGGAAGUCCAUGAGGGAGGCUAGGCUCCAGCAGUGGACCUCACACGACUGAGAUGGAUGUAAAAUGUUUAUUUACAACUAUAGUAAUUCAGUAAAUUUACAUCGUACUGUAUAGAAACUUUCCAGUUUUCUAUUUAUAUAUUAAAAUCACAGUAACAUGGAAACAUUAAAGAAAAUUUUUAAGAAUGUCAUACUUUAGUUUGAAAACCAAAAAGAAGUUUCAAUUGUUGAAUCUAAGUUAUAUGUAGAUAUCAAAAUAAUACAGUUACUUACGACUACCUAUAAUUUAUAAUAUUUAUAUAUUUUAUAUUUGUUUAUUACAUAUAAUGUUUCUAAAAACAUAACAACACAUAAAUAUGUUUAGUUACUUUUAAAUAAAAACAGUAUAUAAUUUUAUUCGUAAAAUAUAUCACUAGAAGAAAUAUACAAUCAUGAAUUGCAAGUAAAUUUUAAGAUCCUUGUCAACUGUAAGCUUCGUUAGCGAUGCCGUAACAUGCUUUAAGACGCUGCUAGUAAUCUCUUCAAAAUUAUAAGGAAAUUUUGAGUUGGAAUAUUAGAAUUAGUAAAUAAAGGGAGCUGUAAUAUUUGUAUCGGAGUAAAAGUUUCAAUGUGAAAAACUGAAAUCAAUAAUUGCAAAUACAAUUAUAAAAUAAUAUGUACGUUUGUUUUUUCACACAUGUAUUUUUUUCAUAUACAUUUUUAAAUAACAAAAAUAAUAUUCAUUCAUUUAUUGAUAUUUUACCAACACGAUAAUUAUUACAUGUUUAACAAUAUCGCCUCAUAGUUGAAAAUUUCAAAAAUACUUGAUACUUUUAUAAUAAAAAAAAAUAUGUAAAAAACGCUACAUCUUACCCUCUGCUUGUGAAACGGUCGCAGCCCGAGCAAGGUCUACGCCCGACGCGCUACCGCCUACAACUCGACGUAGCAGUCCAGUGCUACGCCAACCGUCGUGAAAGGCACUCAUGCACUUCAUCAUUUAUAUUCUAAUAGUUUUUUAACGAUUUGAAAUUUUAUUGGAGAUAAUUAUUAUGAAAUUAAUUUUCAACAGUAAUUUGACCUGAAUGUUUUUAUUAUUUCGACCGUCCUUCAUACCGUAUGAAUAAUUCUAUAUGUAAAUUUAAUUAGUUCACAAUGUUUUGUAUACCAAAAUUAUAUAAUUAUAUUUGAAUUAGUAUAAUUCUGUUUUGAAUGAAAAUCACUGAUAUAAAUCUUGCAUAUACAUUUAUAUAAUCGGUUUGGUGACGUCAUGCCUUAUAUUAAACGAUAAUUCUGUAUUUCACAAAGUGUUAGAAAUAUUCUGCUUUUUGUAAAAUUCUAUUUGUGAUUGAAAUUAAAAUGUAAAAGUGUGAUUUAUUUACUAAAUA